GUGCCAGCAGCCGCGGUAACACGUGGGAUCCGAGCGUUAUCCGGAUUUACUGGGCGUAAAGCGCGUGCAGGUGGUUCGGUUAGUUGGAUGUGAAAUCUCCUGGCUCAACCGGGAGUGGCCGUUCAAUACUGCCGGACUAGAGGGCGAUAGAGGGAGGUGGAAUUCCCGGUGUAGUGGUGAAAUGCGUAGAUAUCGGGAGGAACACCAGAGGCGAAAGCGGCCUCCUGGAUCGACCCUGACGCUAAGACGCGAAAGCUAGGGGAGCGAACGGGAUUAGAUACCCUCGUAGUCC
rnacentral:rRNA from 1 species